UCGCUAAAUUAGCUGUGUUGUCGUGUGGGAUCUUAGGAAAUGUGGUUUUCUUCUCCUUGAAUACAGAAAUAUUAAAUGACAUGAUGUUCUUGUUACACAAGGUGGAGGCAGGAAUGGAGGUGGAGCAGAGCAGCACUCUGAGAAGGAGUAAGGAGCUGUGGCCAAAGCCUUGAGGAAAGUCAAGGUUGGAGUUGGAAUCUUCCAGUGCUGGGAUCAGGUCUUCCAUUAUGGCAGAUUGGCAUGGGAUUUUGCUGACUCCUUUGAACACCUUUCAGCACAGAUCUGCUGGAGGUGCUGAUGUCUUCCUGGAGAACCCCCUGGCAUGGAGAGACCUGGUUAUUAUUUCCAUAUUGUCCAUUUGCCAAGACACUUGCAGAAUGACCCUCUGGACCUGAUGUCCCUGGGGCCACGUGGCUGGAGCAAAAACCAGCACAUGACAGUUCCAGUGCAGGACUGAGGAGACAAUCUGAGUUUUCCCUUAAAAUAAACCCAAUAUCAAAUGGGUUUGUUUCUAUCCAUCUGUUCUCCCAAGAUAUUUGGACCCAUCAAACCAAGUCCAACAAUGUGAGAAGGUUCUAAUCUGGAUCCUCAGCAGAUUUCUGUAGAAUUGGCAAGUGAGUGAACAAAGGGGACCCAAAGGUGGCAUUUCCAUCACAGAGAAGGUUGGAGGAGCUUGAGUUAUCCCAGAUUGGUGCCUGGACCUUCACAUGCCCAUCAGUUUAGGAAUGCUGGAGAUGGUUCACACACAGCCCUCAGGAAGCUGCAGUGACCCAGCCACGAGGUUUAAGAACUCCAGGGCAGCAGGAACAGGAAUAUGAAAGGAGGGAGUUGGACUAAGUGGCAAAGUUCCCAAGUUAUCCAUAGAGCUGUGGUUUCUCCAUUCCCAGAGCUGCCCCAGCAGAAACUACUAGUAAAGUUAAAGGUCUUCAAUGCAGCAAGUUCCCUUUUCCUCCUGUUGUUCCAAUGGUGUCCUGCUGUCCUGGCUGUGUGA
rnacentral:lncRNA from 1 species